rnacentral:misc_RNA from 1 species
GCUCCGUAGGUGAACCUGCGGAGGGAUCAUUACAGAGUUCAUGCCCUACCGGGUAGAUCUCCCACCCUAUGUUAUUAUUACUUUGUUGCUUUGGCGGGCCGUUAGGCUCCGGCCCGACUACCGGCCCCGGCUGGUAAGCGCCCGCCAGAGGACCCAAAACCCUGAAUAUUAGUGUCGUCUGAGUACUAUAUAAUAGUUAAAACUUUCAACAACGGAUCUCUUGGUUCUC